rnacentral:lncRNA from 1 species
CGGCUCCCGGCCUUGGCUGGGCCACGGGCCCAGGUGAGGCUGUGACGGGCCGGGGUGGAGCUGAGGUUGGUGACGCCGUGUGGGUGGCAGGAGGCACGGUGUGACAAUGUCAGCUGUGGUGGCGGGGAUGCAGGCGCAGCGGCACCUGGCAGCUGAGCGCAGGUCACAGCGGUGAGACGGGACGGGGCAGCCUCUGGCUCUGGUCCGGGUUCUGCUGCUCACCACCUGGCGACAGGUGACUCCUCCCUCUGGGUCCCCUCCUGUUGCUGCUGGAGCAGAAGGAGCCAUCCCCGCUCCUGAGAGCCAGGGUCGGAGUGACCAAGGCCUGGGAACCCUUGGGCCAGCGUGACUGUCACUGUGGCCAGGGCCGCGGGGACUUCCUGAGGAGCCGCCCCGUCCUUCCCUGGGGCCAGCCCUUGCCCUGCGGAGCUCUGGGACCAUCUCUCUUCCCCUUGGCGUGGGGCUGGCACUCCUGGGGCCCCUUGUCCCCUGGUCACAGGGAUGGGCACAGGACGCAGAUGGGGCCAGUUCUCUCUGAGGGCCAGCAGGGGGUGCUGUCACUGGGCAGGUGUCAGGCAGCCACCUGAGAUUGCCAGCUCACAGGGAGGGUAUCUGUCCCCAGUGGAGGGCAAAGGACUAAGAACAGCAGAAACGAGAACAGGUGAGAGGAGAAAGAGCAGGAGAACGUCAUGGCGGCCCACAGAUCCCAGCAGCCCUGCUCACGCGCCUGGAUGCAGCUGUGCCUGAAGACAGCCUGGCCCGCUCCUGAAACUGCAGGUUACACGGCUCGGUAGCCGCCCCGGGGAGUGAGUUGGGCUUCCACUUUGCAAACAGACUUCUUUCCCACGCCUCCAGCCUUCUCCGGCUCCUAGAAUCUCAGAACCUUCCCAAGAAAGCAAAAUCGAUGACACAGCUGACUUCCAAGUUUGGGGACAAAAGACUCUUGUCCUGCCAGACCCAAACCUGGCUCCUGUGUCCUCUUUCCAGGGAACAGAUGUGAUUGACCUAGUUCCAGGCCCAGGUGUCGGGGACAGAGGUCAAGAUCUGCUGCUACGUGCCCCCACCCCCCACCGUAGUCGGGAGCCCUUUACAGGGAGCCUCCGUUCGAAGUGAGGGAGCACGGGGAUCCCGUCGUCUUCUCCUAAACAAUCCAAGUGACACGGGAAACACCUGCAGAGGACCUUAAAACCUCACCUGACAGCCAGCCCCCGCCUCCGGAGAGCCCAGUGCCCCAGGUACAGACCCUGGCUUCCUGCUGGGAAGGAAGGGGUGGCUUUACCCAGGGGCCCGCCCCCCCUGGGGUCUUUCUGCUCCGCACUGGGUCCCACGUCCUGUCCUGUCCCCAUGAGGCAUAUUCAGGUUGCUGCCCGCGUUUCUCUAAUUUGAGGGUCGGAGGCAACGCACCCACGUCUGCGGUCCUGCCGCGCCUGCCCGAUGGCGGCUGAGGGUACCUCCUUAGAAGGGGCAGCCGCAGGGUCAGGGCCGCUGGGAUUUCCAAGCUCCCGGUGCGUCCUGCCUGGUUCUCCGGGGCUGGAGGUCCUGGUGGAGGCUGGUGACGGAUGUUACUGGGGUUUCCUCAUCUCCAGAGAAACCAGGAGGGGGAGGAAGAGGGGGAGAAGCCGGCGGCCUGGAGGGUGCUGGCUCUGCUGGGUGACCAGCCGGGCCAGCUCGCCCAGGACGUUCCUGGUCAGUCCCCGUCCUGGGAACUGCCUCCUCUUGGCGAAGCAGGAUAGCUGGUCACUCGCUCCUGCCUCCCAGGGCCUGUCUCCCGAGCUCGGUGGCACCACGGGAACGUUCCGUGCCUCUGCCUGUGGGACAGGGGGUGCCCGGCUGCCUCCCACACUGCAUUCUGGGAAGGCCGGUGCUGAGAAGCAGCCAGGCCGAGUGCCCGGCAGGCUUGGCUCUGGCGACCACGGGCUGGCAGCACACGCUGGCCCGGGUCUGCGGAGUCCAGGGAGCCAGGGAGGCCGUGCCCAUUCCCAUGGGGCAGCUGCAGGCCCUGGCAAGACUGAGAAAGGGCUGCCGUGCUGGGGCCCGCGUGUCCCAUCUCUCCCACCCCAUGCUGUAGGGGACACUGAGGCCAGAGAGGGCACUGCCCUGAGUCACGUCCUGAGGGGCAGAGCUGGGACAGGAAUCCAGGCUGCCCUGCUCCGGCUGGGUCACUCCCUCUGUGCAGCUGGGGACCAGGUGUUCCUCUGUGGGAAAUGGCUCUUCGGGGUUUGCCCUGCCCUAUCCCAUGGCCACGGGUCCGGCGGCUCCUCGGGGAGCAGGGUGUCUUGAGGUCUUGCCCCGCCAAAGCCCGACUGCACCAGGGGUCCGCAGGCUCCUGGCCACAACUUCUCGGGGGUCUCUGUCUGCCCUCAGGCUCCGCUCGUCCCGCGGCUUGAAGAUGCAGAACGGGGCCAGAAGCACCAGACCCAGCUGCUGGGGGCUGAGUGUCGGGGCCUGUGCUCGAGUCCCAGUGGGCACCUGCUGGGCACGUCCAGCGUGGGCCUGGGCUUCAUGGAGACCUCCGCGGCCUGCCUUCCCCGUCCCCAUCCAGCUGAUGCACCUUGACGGUCCACACAUCCGCGAGGACACCACCACCAUCCAGACGGCAAAGGUGCAGGUGGCCCAGGAGCUUCCCGUGCCCUGUCUCCUCCCCAGGCAGGGGCUGAUCUGGUUUCCGACGGGCAGGGAAGCAGCAGGGCUGGCUGCUGGUGGGCACUGGGCCCCUGGCGGGCGGGGCCUUCCCUCAUGGGCAGGGCCUGCUCCUCGUGGGCAGGGCCUGCUCCUCGUGGGCGGGGCCUGCACGGGCGCAGCCUUCCCUCCUCCUGGGUGUGCGGCAGGGGUUCUGCUGGGGGUGGUUUUCAGCCUGUGCGUUGUCUGGAAGGCGUUGGCGUCUUUCCACGUGUGCCCCCGUCUCUCCGUUGAUUUAGUUCUUUCAUUUCUCUCAGCAAAAUUUAUCUUGCACAGCUUUCUGCAGCCUGUCUCUGUGUCUCUGUCCUCACUCUUCAAUGCUGUUGUAAGUGGAUUUUAUUUCAAUUGUUUUGGGUUGCUGUCCUCCAGCAACAGAGUUGAUUUUGGUCUAUGGAUCCUGCAUAUCUCGGCCCUGUGAAGGCCACUGAGAAGUCCUAGUGAUGGUUUUAUAGAUCCCAUAAGGUUUUUUGGCAGGGAGGGAACCAGGGAUGGAACUCGGGGGCACCCGACCUCUGAGCACAUCCCCAGGCCUGUUUUGUAAUUUAUUUAGAGACAGAGUCUCACUGAGUGGCUUAGGGCCUUGCCAUUGCUGAGGCUGGCUUUUUGAGAUGUUUGGAAACGUGCCGCACGUACUUGAAGAGAAAGUACAUCCUGCCGUCGCUGAGCGGCAGAUUCUAAACCCGCCCGUCAGGACAUGUUGACUGACACUGCCGUUCCAGUCUCCCACACCUUUCUUCGCUUUUGUGCAUUUGUUCUAUCACUUAUUGAAGAAAGGGCUACUGAAAUCUAAUUGUGCGUCUGUCUAAUUCUCUGUAUUUCUGCCCAUUUUGCACCAUGUAUUUGAAGAUCUUAUUUGUUGAAAAACAUCUAGAAUUGUGAGGUCCACUUGAGGACUCUUGCCCCCUCUGUCACUUCUGAAGUGAAUCUUGAUCUCGGGCAGCGUUCUCUCUUCUAAGAUCUACUUUGCUAUUAAUAAAACCACUUCAGCUCUUUUGGAUUAAUAUCAGCAUGCUGUGUUUAGGCUUUUAUUUCAAAGCUAUUCCUGAGUUGAUAUUUAGCAUGGAUUUCUUGUAGGCAGCAUGUAAUUUGAUCUUGCUUUUUAUCUCAUCUGCCAGUCUCUGCCUUUUAAGUGGUGGUGUUGAUGCAUUUACGUUUAAUGUGAUCAUAGAUAUGAUCUCACUUAAUUUCACCACCAUUCUGUUGGUUUUGUAUUUUUAUUUCCACUUUUUCUGUUUCCUUUUUCCUCCUUUUGGCUUUUUGGGACUAAACAAUAUUUUUUUUGCUACUCCAUUCUGUCUUGCUGUAAGCUCCUGAGUUACAUCUUAUUUCAGUGGUGGAUAAAGGAUGGGUUGUCUCUGUCUUGAACUUCACAGUCACCCUCUGGGGGCUACUGUCCUGGGGUGAGGCCGUACGACUUCACAGACAGGUGAAGAGACUGUCGGCACUGUAUGUCACUGUGUCCCCGACCUCUGUGCUCUUUUCAUGCCACGUGAGCAUCUGUGUGAGUGUGUGCAUUGUGUGAGUGUGUGCAUUGUGUGGGUGUGCACUGUGUGAGUGUGUGCACUGUGUGAGUGUGUGCAUCUCUGUGUGUGCACUAUGUGAGUGUGUGCACUGUGUGAGUGUGUGCAUCUGUGUGUGCACUGUGUGAGUGUGUGCAUCUGUGUGUGUGCACUGGGUGAGUGUGUGCAUCUGUGUGAGUGUGUGCAUCUGUGUGUGCACUGUGUGAGUGUGUGCAUCUCUGUGUGUGCACUGUGUGAGUGUGUGCAUCUGUGUGAGUGUGUGUACUGUGUGAGUGUGUACACUGUGUGAGUGUGUGCAUCUGUGUGUGCACUGUGUGAGUGUGUGUACUGUGUGAGUGUGUGCACUGGGUGAGUGUGUGCAUCUGUGUGAGUGCACUGUGUGAGUGCGUGUACUGUGUGAGUGCGUGUACUGUGUGAGUGUGUGCACUAUGUGAGUGUGUGCACUGUGUGAGAGUGUGCAGCGAGAGACAGUUGAGAAAAAUCAGUCUUCUCCACUUGCACAAACACUUCGCGUCCAUCUACAGUGUCCACUCCUCCAGGUAGCCUCUGCUAAGGUCCUAAGUCACCUGCUGCACGCAUGCUCCCUGUGCCUGGGGCCCUGUUCUUACAGACGUCACCUUCACGAGGACAGAACUCAAGGCCACAGGAUUCUCCCCUGAGUCCCACGUGGCCCCUGACUACAGCUAGAUCUCCAUGCACACUCCUGGGCUUGGCCACACUGUGCCACCGGGCGCGGCCUGGCAGCAGCCUCCGCUCCCCAGCUGAGGACUAACGGAAAGGGCAGAGCUCUGGGCAGGGAGCACAGCCGGACAACCUGGGGCUGCGGCUAACGGGCAGCGUGCGGAUGGGCCGGCUGCUUGCCCAUCUGUACGGUGGGGCUGACUUCCAGGCUUGCAGAAUGGACGGGCGUGGAACUUGGGCAGCCUGUGGGGGCGCUCGCUGGCUCUCCACCCCUCGCCUCCCCCUGCCUGCGGCCAAGGCGGGGAGUCCCACGUCUCCAGGUCUUUCUGGUUUCAAGUCCUCUGUCCACCAGCACAAACCCUCACUGUAGGCCUCUGAGGUGCAGGCGCCUUGUGACCACAGCGAAGGAUGUGCCUUCUGGUGGCUGUGCUGGUCAUCGGCUGACUGCUGGCUCCGUCCAGCUGUGUCCAGGUGUGUGGUGCUGGCAGCCCCACAGAGGAAUGGCCCACCCUCCACGCGGCUCGGUGAUGUCGCCAACAUGAGCUUUAUGGGGGUCCUGACUUAAUACAAUAAAAUUCACUGCCUCGGGGUAGAAUUCCCUUAAGGGCCCACCUCUGGGAGCCCCUUCUGGACAUGAGCCACUUGCGAUCCCGUCUGCCGAGGGCUGCUGUGGACAGGCCAUCUGCGCUGUGGCUGUCUGAGGUGGGAGGUCAGUGCAGCCAGUUGCUCCAACACGGUGGGAGUGGGGUCCUGGAGCUUUCCAACCUGCUGGCAGGACCCCACCUAGCAGCACGGGCCAAAGCCAGCACCAGGCCGAAGCCACUCUCUGUCCGUGGGGUGCCACAGGGGCCAGGGCCAGGGUGUGGCUCUGGGGACACCAGGCAAGAGUGCAGGGUUCCCCAAGUUGGUGAGCAUGAGCACAGUCCCUGGCAUGUGAGGGGGCAUGAGGGCCCUGGCCCUGGCUGAGCAUCCCUCGCCCUCGCGUGCUGCGCGGGGUCCACGCGCUCGGGUUACGGAAGAAACCUGUGUGUCCUGCGCACUCUCUGGGGAAGCAUGCUGGCCAGCCUCCCCGUAGGGUGUCCCUGCUGGCCAGGAAGGGCACCUAGAAGGACUCACUCAGGGCCAGCCGUC